rnacentral:rRNA from 1 species
UGUUAGCGUGCAUUCCCGUGAAAACGGGAUUUCCUUCGGGACCCGCUACAAGGUGCUGCAUGGUUGUCGUCAGCUCGUGCCGUGAGGUGUCGGGUUAAGUCCCAUAACGAGCGCAACCCCUAUCUUUAGUUGCCAAUCCCGGUUUAACCGGGAGGGACUCUAAAGAAACUGCCCGCGCAAGCGGUGAGGAAGGCGGGGAUGACGUCAAAUCAGCACGGCCCUUAUGUCCGGGGCUACACACGUGCUACAAUGGCCGGUACAGUGGGCAGCUCAUGCGCGAGCAUUUGCUAAUCUCUAAAACCGGUCUCAGUCCGGAUCGGAGUCUGCAACCCGACUCCGUGAAGCUGGAUUCGCUAGUAAUCGCACAUCAGCCAUGGUGCGGUGAAUACGUUCCCGGGCCUUGUACACACCUCCC